GUCUAUGUGUGUGUGUGUGUGUGUGUGGACUCAGCAGCCUGUGUAUGGACUAAGCACAUUGUGUGUGUGUGUGGACUCAGCAGUCUGUGUGUGUGCAUGGACUCAGACAGACUGCUGAGUCCAGACACACACACACAGACAGACUGCUGAGUCCAUACACACACAGACAGACUG